UAACAGGAAGAAGCUUGCUUCUUUGCUGACGAGUGGCGGACGGGUGAGUAAUGUCUGGGAAACUGCCUGAUGGAGGGGGAUAACUACUGGAAACGGUAGCUAAUACCGCAUAACGUCGCAAGACCAAAAAGGGGGACCUUCGGGCCUCUUGCCAUCGGAUGUGCCCAGAUGGGAUUAGCUAGUAGGUGGGGUAACGGCUCACCUAGGCGACGAUCCCUAGCUGGUCUGAGAGGAUGACCAGCCACACUGGAACUGAGACACGGUCCAGACUCCUACGGGAGGCAGCAGUGGGGAAUAUUGCACAAUGGGCGCAAGCCUGAUGCAGCCAUGCCGCGUGUAUGAAGAAGGCCUUCGGGUUGUAAAGUACUUUCAGCGGGGAGGAAGGGAGUAAAGUUAAUACCUUUGCUCAUUGACGUUACCCGCAGAAGAAGCACCGGCUAACUCCGUGCCAGCAGCCGCGGUAAUACGGAGGGUGCAAGCGUUAAUCGGAGUUACUGGGCGUAAAGCGCACGCAGGCGGUUUGUUAAGUCAGAUGUGAAAUCCCCGGGCUCAACCUGGGAACUGCAUCUGAUACUGGCAAGCUUGAGUCUCGUAGAGGGGGGUAGAAUUCCAGGUGUAGCGGUGAAAUGCGUAGAGAUCUGGAGGAAUACC
rnacentral:rRNA from 1 species